AGGAGGAGGAGUGUGGCAGGAGGAAGACAGGAAGGAAAGACUCAGGCUGUAAUGAAGGAAGUGACGCCGAGCAGCCAGCCAUCUGUCAGCAGAUUAAUCCUGCCUGUGCUUAGAGAUAUUACCGGCUGGCUUAUCGCCGUGGCAACGAGCCUUCAAUCCCAGUCCAGCACAGCCACCAUGUGACCUUGCAGAUGAGGGAAGAUGACAGUCAAGCUUUACCAUUGGCCUGUGGAGAACUGGGACAACAGAGACUCUAACCAGGAGGACUUUGAGUUGGAUGCGCAGACACGGUACC